UCAGGAGGGUCCUGCUACUAUAGCCUUGAUGAGAGCCCAUUUCUUCGCGAUGAAGCGUCGUGGUCUGUGCUCCUCAUGCCCAUGUGCCCUGUGUCUAGAAGCCUCUUCUGUAUGUCAUCAAUGACUCGGUUGUCAGAAGCAGACCCAAAUCACAACCAAAUGACAAGGACCAGUUAGGCAAAAUGAGGAUCACAGAAGUUCGAGCCCAUGGUUUCCAUCUGGAAGAUCCAGGAGCAGGCCUUUGGGUGCAGCGAGCAGCACGGGAUGCUGGGAGCUUGUUUCUCUGCAAGAGCAAUGAUAUUCUUCCCUGUGACUUCUCCCAGUCUAGAGAAUCCAUGACCUUGGCUAAAAAUCAACAACUCUUUCUUCUGCUUCAGUUGGUUUUCCAGUUAAGAUGGCUAGGAGGGUCUCUUCCUAGUUGGAGACAGAUAUCAGAGCCUUGCAGGUUCACAGAUACAUGACACACAGGAGCAGCAUUUGCUUGGUACAUAAUUCAACAGCAAGUUCCAUGGCUGGUUUCCUGAAUGUGUCUUGAAUCUGCAUUCUCUCUUCAC